CCCUCCAUCUAGCACUGUGCCUCCAGGAGAGAGGGUUUUUUUUCUGGUCACCCGUGCAGACAUGACCCUGCUUAUUCCUGGCCAAUCCCAGGGCCAGACUGGAUCGUUGGCCCUCUGACUCACCCUAGAAGGCCUGGGGCUGGAGAGGCCUGGAACUCCUCAGAGAAGCCAAAGAUUUUGCAGAAUCAAGGAUGGAUGGAGUAUAAAAAUAAGGAAUGGAAAAAACUGAAGAUGUACUAAGGAUUAAGGCCCAGGUUCAUCUAGUGACCCCAGGUGCCAGGCAUUGUGCUAUGACUGUGAUGUGAAAGAAGAGGCCAGGACAACUGGGUCUCAUUCGGUCAGACUGGAGUGCAGUGGUAUGAUCACAGCUCAUGCAGCCUUAACCUUCCAGACUCAAACAAUCCUUUCACAUAGCUGGGACCACAGGUGCAUGCCACCAUGCUGUUUAUUUUUAAAUUUUUUGUAGUGAGCCAUUGAGCCCAGCAUAAUCUUUCUAAUUCAGUUCCUUAUCUGAAAAGCGAGGACAUUGUGACAAUGAUCUCAGAGCACUGUUGUGAGAAUUAAAUUCUCAAUAUAAUGUCUGGUGCCCAAAAAGCAUUAAAUUGAAGUUGGCUUAAACUAUAAUCACAUAAACACCAUGUGGUCUUUUUUUUUUUUUUUUUUUUCAGACAUAGUCUUGCCCUAUCGCCCAGGCUGGAGUGCGGUGGCGCGACCUCAGCUCACUGUAACCUCCUCCUCCCAGGUUCAAGCGAUUCUCCUGCCUCCUGAGUAGCUGGGAUUAUAGGCAUGCGCCACCACACCCAGCUAAUUUUUGUAUUUUUAGUAGAGACGGGAUUCACCAUGUUGCCCAGGCUGGUCUCGAACUUCUUCUGACCUCAGGUGAUCUGCGUGCCUCGGCCUCCCAAAGUGCUGGAAUUACAGGCAUGAGCCACUGUGCCCGGCUCACCAUGUGGUCUUAAUAGCAAGCAUGGAGUACCAAACAAAAAUUCAUUAAAUGCUCCUGGAAUAUCAUAUCCCACAAUGCAAGACAACAACAACAAAACACCUGGUAGGAUAACCAAGGCUAGGCUAUUAUAAGCCUCCUGGUCACUCCCGAUGCAAAAAAUCAUCAAGGACACAGCUGUUUGGUAAUAUUUCAAACCCAUUCCAUCUAGGUCAAAAUAGACAACAAAUUUUCCCUUGGGACAGACUUCUCUGUCCAGGCCACAUAGCUGCAGACAUGUGCACAGGUUCCAUUUACUACACUGAACAUUGUGACUUAGUCACUUGUGAAUUCAUGGCAUCAUAAAUGUCUACUGACAGCACAAUAGACAUUUAUCUCCCUAUUUUAAAAAAUUGUAGUAAAAUAUACAUAAAACUUGCCAUUUUAACCAUAUUUAAGUGUAAAAUUCAGUGGCCUUUAGUACAUUCACAUUGUUGUUUUUAAGGUUCAUCCAUGUUCUAACAUGUAUCAGAAUUUCAUUUCUUUUUAUGGCCGAAUAAUGUUCCAAUGCAUGUAUAUAUGACAUUUAUUUAUCCAGUCAUCCAUUAAUGGACACUGGAGUUCUUGAGAUGUUCCCACCUUCUAGCUAGUGCAAAUACUGCUGCUAUAAACACUGGUGUGGAAGUAUCUGUUUGAAUGUUUGUUUUCAAUUCUUUUGGGUAUAUACCCAGGAGCAGAAUUGCUGGGUCAUAUAGUAAUUCUAAGUUUAACUUUUUGAGGAAUCACCAAACUGUUUUUUCCAAAGUGCCUGAAUCAUUUUACAUUAUCACCAGCAAUUCAACAGGGUUGCCGGUAUACAGCAGUUUAUGAGGUAACAGAGUAUAUGGAGUAUUCUCCAUUACUCUCCAACACUUGUGAUGUUCCAUUUUAACAAUAUUAGCCAUCCUAAUGAGUAUGAAGUGAUACCUCAAUGUGGUUUGAAUUUGCAUGUCCCUAAUGACUAAUGAUGUGGAGUAUCUUUUCAUGUGCUUAUUGGCCAUUUGUAUAUCUUAUAUGGAGAUUCCUAUUAAAAUCUUUUACCCAGUUUUGAAUUGGGUUAAUUCCUUUUUAUACACAUUAUAUGUUUAGAAAACAAAUGGGUCAGGCUGGGCGC